GUCACGGGAUCGUUAGUAGGAAUCAUAGUAUCGCCUCUUUUCCGCCUAGCGACUGCCGCCCUGCGUUGCGAGAAGACCUACGUGCGUUGACCCGGUCCUUUCGGUUCCGGAUUCCUCAGCCCCCAGCCCCCCGGGGUCGAUGGGAUCGGGUCGGUACGCACUGCAAGGAGAGGGCCAACGCGAGUUGGUCCUUUU
rfam:Bradyrhizobium sp. NAS80.1 Bradyrhizobium_NAS_80.1_c4, whole genome shotgun sequence.